rnacentral:rRNA from 1 species
AAUCAACGCUGGCGGCGUGCCUAACACAUGCAAGUCGAACGCGAAAGCCCCCGCAAGGGGCAAGUAGAGUGGCAAACGGGUGAGUAACACGUGGGUGACCUGCCUUCGAGUGGGGGAGUAACGUCCCGAAAGGGACGGCUAAUACCGCAUGACAUCCUGCCUUUGGAGAGGUGGAGAUCAAAGCCGGGGAUCGCAAGACCUGGCGCUUGAAG